rnacentral:misc_RNA from 1 species
AAAGUCGUAACAAGGUUUCCGUAGGUGAACCUGCGGAAGGAUCAUUAACACAAUACUUUCUAUUAUCAAUAACCUUUGAGCAUCUGUCUGAGCCUUUUUUAGCGUGGGGUCGACUAGAUCAUGGUUGGAAUGCGGUCUAGCCUGCUGUUAAGUUAGCCCGUCAAUUUUCGUUCUCCUUCUUCGGAACGCAAAUGAAUUUUGGCGACCGGUCUAACGCCCCGUUUUCUUAGGUGAUACAGCCACAGCCAUGGCUGGCCAAACUUUUUUUUAACCUCUUGAAUUUUUGUACUGAUUUGGGCUGUCGGAUUGAGAGGAGUCAAAUCCUUUCUCUUUCAGCUUGUGAUGAAUGCUUGUCAUUCUCUCACUAACCAAAACACAACUCUUAACAGUGGAUAUCUCGGUUCUC